rnacentral:tRNA from 1 species
AUAGAUUUAAGUUAAGUUUAAACUAUUAAUUUUCAAAAUUAAAAAUUUGUAAUCUAUAU